GAUGAACGCUAGCUACAGGCUUAACACAUGCAAGUCGAGGGGCAGCAUGGACAAAGCUUGCUUUGUUUGAUGGCGACCGGCGCACGGGUGCGUAACACGUAUCCAAUCUGCCCGCGGCUCGGGGAUAGCCCAUCGAAAGAUGGAUUAAUACCCGAUGGUGUGGUUUCUCCGCAUGGAGUUUCCACUAAAGGUUUUCCGGCCGCGGAUGAGGAUGCGUAUGAUUAGGUAGUAGGCGGGGUAACGGCCCACCUAGCCUUCGAUCAUUAGGGGUUCGGAGAGGAGGGUCCCCCACACUGGAACUGAGACACGGUCCAGACUCCUACGUGAGGCAGCAGUGAGGAAUAUUGGUCAAUGGGCGGGAGCCUGAACCAGCCAAGUAGCGUGAAGGAAGACUGCCCUAUGGGUUGUAAACUUCUUUUGUUCGGGAAUAAAGUGCAGUACGCGUACUGUUUUGUAUGUACCGUUCGAAUAAGCAUCGGCUAAUUCCGUGCCAGCAGCCGCCGUAACAC
rnacentral:rRNA from 1 species